UUGAGUGUGAAUCCAGAGAGCUGAGCCUUUCUGUGCAUCAACAGAGCGUUGAAAAGCUGCUGCUGUGAGUUCCAUGUUUGUUCUUUCUCUGCUGUUUUCCUGCUGAUGGACGUCACCUUCACUCCUCAGCUUCAUCCAGAUUCUUUUCUCCAUCAGGAGAUGUCAGCAAGAAAAACACACGAGGAGCAGGAAACAACAGGACACAGGUGAGACACAUUAGGGCCAGCAGGGGAUCAGCAGAGGAGACACAAGGAAGAGAAGACACCUGAAACGAGAGGCAUGUUAGAACUACAUGAAGCUGCUUGGAGGAGCAGUGAAACCUCUUCAGACAACUCUAUAACUCUGCAGGUUCUACACUUGUUCACAGCUACUUCACUUGCAGCUAGUUCAAACUUUGAAGGUCCAGCCACUGUCACUGACGGUGUCUCCUUCUCUGUUUCAGCUGAAGACACAGCUGGACUGAUGGCAAAGCCCACUGACCGUGAGUACAGUCUUCUCUCUGUACACCACACACACCUCAGUGCACUCAGCGUUCUAUACACCCUGAAGCCCAUCAGUCCUCACAGGACAGAGGGCAGGGGUUCCUGAACGCACCACAGAGGUAGACAACACAGAGCCGACCUGAUCCAGAGACUCAGCAACAUCGACCCCAUCGACCGCUCUUGGGCUCGGUCAUCCAGCAGGAAGCAUAUGAUCGGAUCAGAGCUCAGCCCACCAACCAGGACAAGGUCAGGGAGCUCUACACGUUCCUGCAAGCUGGAACAGAGGCCAAAGAUAAAUUCUACCACAUUCUCCAGACGCUUUAAGCUGUGUCUCAAUUCAGGGUCUGCAUCCUUCGGAGGCCGCGUCCUCCUUAGGAUCCUCCUGAGGAUCCUCAACCGUUGGUAAAUGGGACGGUCUGGCCUUCAAAGCACUUCCUGAUUGUGGCGCGACGUCAUAAAUUUUGCCCCGGGAAAAACAAAAGCAGCGACAGCGACACAACACGGACUACACAACAAGCGGGACAACAGUGUGGAUUUAGAAAUUUGGAAUUUUUUAAUAUAUUUAUUUGUUGUUGGAGGAAGAGGAGAGGCGGCUCCAGCGGCAGCAAAACCGGUGACGGCUCAUUUUCUUCAGGCUGGGAGAGCGCAGUGGGGAGGUGACAGUAAGCUGCUGUUUAACCAUAUUAUUGAUCAUAAUUAAUAUACCAGCUACUGAGCAAACGCUAGAUAUAUAACCAGUAGAUAGACAAAUAUGAUUAAAUGUAAUUUAUAUUUUAUUCAAUUGUAAGACUUGAUACAGGGUCUGUUUGUAAUUUUAAUACUUUAAAUUAAAUAGCUACAUGUGUAAGAACCCUGCAAAUAACCCUGAAAGCACUGCUUUAAUGUGUCAUUAAGCAUCAGGUCUGUCACUGCACCAGAGAAUUACUGCUGGGUGGAGGAGAGUGGGGCUCCCUGCAGGACCAGCUGUCUGUCCUGGAGGAGGUGUACUGACCAUCAUCACCUUUGGAGGGUGA
rnacentral:lncRNA from 1 species